rnacentral:rRNA from 1 species
CCUACGGGAGGCAGCAGUGAGGAAUAUUGGUCAAUGGGCGGGAGCCUGAACCAGCGACGCCGCGUGAGUGAAGAAGGAUUUCGGUAUGUAAAGCUCUAUCAGCAGGGAAGAAAAUGACGGUACCUGAUUAAGAAGCCCCGGCUAAUUACGUGCCAGCAGCCGAGGUAAUACGUAGGGGGCAAGCGUUAUCCGGAUUUACUGGGUGUAAAGGGAGCGUAGACGGCAGCACAAGUCUGGAGUGAAAUGCCGGGGCUUAACCCCGGAACUGCUUUGGAAACUGGGCAGCUAGAGUGCAGGAGAGGUAAGUGGAAUUCCUGGUGUAGCGGUGAAAUGCGUAGAUAUUAGGAGGAACACCAGUGGCGAAGGCGGCUUACUGGACUGUAACUGACGUUGAGGCUCGAAAGCGUGGGGAGCAAACAGGAUUAGAUACCCGAGUAGUC